AUCCUACUAUGUUGACACUUUCGAACUAAUUCUUUAAACCACUCCCAUGCUUCAAAAAUAGUUUCCAUAUCUUUCUAGCAGAAGUUACGUAUUUCUCUUCUAAAGUU
rnacentral:snoRNA from 1 species